UAGCUCUAGACUGUAAAGAAGGAAAUGUUUGCUGAAGGCAGAUAACACGUUCGACGACGCGGCCUUCAAAGCAACCACAUUGCAGAACAAAUGCGGCGCUGAUGCCGAGUUCAUGGCCGGGUACCCGACGUGCGUGAAGUCCACCAUGAAAUAUUUGAACUUCCUCCGACUAUUCAACUGCCUCGUGAAUGGUAAAUCCAGCGUGAUGUCACAGAAGAACAUUGAAAUGAGCCAGAAGAAGACGAACUGAGCGUCAGAAAACUUUUAUUCUUACCUAACCCAUUUAUUUCCUCUUAGACGUAUUGCUGACCAGAAAAAUGUAAUUGUUGCACUUUUGAAUUCGUAAUUCCUUCGAUUAUGUUUGUGGAAUGUUUAAUAUUUGGAUUACGGAUUUUUUUUACAGUCGAGUUUCACUCUCUCUUACCCAUUAAAUAAAGAUUCAGGGAAUGGA